rnacentral:sRNA from 1 species
AUGCCACCCUUGGAGGAGUAGACCCGGGGACUCUGAAUACAUCUUGGGAAUGCUUAUAUCUUAGAAAUUUGGAUUUAGGACGAAUAUACAUAUUGUUUUAGAAACUAAGUGUCACAUGGGGCCAAACAUGGUGGCUCACUCCUGUAAUCCCAGCACUUUGGGAGGCCAAGGCGGGUGGAUCACUUGAGGUCAGGAGUUCAAGACUAGCCUGACCAACAUGGUGAAACGCUGUCUCUACUAAAAAUACAAACAUUAGCCUGGUGUGGUGGUGGGCACCUGUAAUCCCGGCUACUUGGGAGGCUGAGGCAGGAGAAUCGCUUGAAACAAGGAGGUAGAGGUUACAGUGAGCCAAGAUCGCACCACUGUACUCCAGCCUGGGUGACAGAACAAGACUCUUUCUCAAAAAAAAAAAAGAAACUAAGUGUCACAUGGAUUAAACAACUUUUUCACACUCAAGGAAAUGCACAAACAACUUCUUUGCAAUGUCUUCCUUUGGCAAAAUUUGGGCUUUUGCUAAUUUCUGUGGACUUAAAAAAAACUCAUAAUUCCAUUGCCCUUCAACUCUUAGGUAAAUACUGUGAGUUCUGGUCAUGUGCAUCUUCAGGAGUAAAGCUAGUCUGGUGGUGGUUUUUAUGGGAUGGGUGGGAAGAGGAGUUGGGGAGUGUCUCAUGUCAACACCAGAGAGAGCUGUUUCUCUGGAGCUAUAAUUGGAGCCAUAGCAAAUGAGAUUGGAGCAGGGUCAUGGAGCUUCUCUAACCUGUGGAACCCAUUUAAAGAAUUUGAAGACGAUCGCCUACACCCAGCUGGGUUUAGCGCCAUCCCAGCAGGUUUAAGCCAGGCCUCUAGACCAUCUUCCUAGAGCUCCCUGCCUGUCCUUGUUGCCCACAACCAUGUAAUGUGGGCAUAGGAGGCUCUAGGCAGGAGCUGGGCUGGAGCCAGGUGGUGUCAAAUUUCUCCAGUGGCUGAGUCGGGAGGUUUCUCUGGGGCCAUUGGGAAUUAGGCUGCUUUGUCUUCCUGCUGGGUCAAAUUUAUUUUCCAAAACUAAAAUUUUGUUAAGCCAAUAAAUGACUUCUGGUCAACACAAUGUUCCAAGGCUCUGUGCCAGUUGACCCCUACUACCUCCUCCCCCCAGCCCCAGGGAGAGGAGAAAAGGGAGUGGACUAAAGUAGAGAGGGAAGAGAGGCUGGGCUGUGUGCACAGAGGGCACCCACUGCAGGCCAGGCUGGGUUAGGAGGAAGAACAGGAACAUACCAAACUCUACCCUCUAGCAGAACUCUAGGGAACCCAGCUCGCCCUGUCCAGGCCAGGGACCUAAGAAGGUUCUACAACAUAAUUGUCACUCUCGCUCUGCUGUACCUGGCCUUUCUCAUCUUAACUCACCUCAGCUUCUCACCCUCACCACCCUCUUCCAUCUGAAGUGUAAUUUGCCCAGAAAUGAAAAGAGAGUGUGUCUAGCAGAGUUUCCCAUCUUUGGAAUGUCCUUGCCAUGGAAACUUCUUGUUGCCAGUUUCUAGUCAAUGACCAGGGCAGCUGGGUGGAGCUGUCUUUCUGAGGGCAGAGGCUGGGGGCAUAUGCUUCCCACCAUUUGGCUCCCUGGGGAAGCGAAGCUUCUCUGGACUUUUCAAUGCCUGCCUGCGGCUCCUGCCACCACAGGCAAGUUCGUGGGCUUCACAGCCGCACUUCAGUCUAUCACUGCAAGGCUGUUUCCUUAACAGGAAAAAAAAAUCAACCCGUUCCCUUGCAUAAACCAGGCUCCCACUCUCAUUGAGACUACCACUUGGAGAGUGCUUUUCCCUUUUUUUUCUGGGAGUGCGCCAUGGCUGGGUGAAAAUUACAUCUCUUGGCAGCUGCUCUAACAGCUGGGAGGGGAGCAGUGAGUACAGUGGAGAAAGGGCAGCUCUUGGCAGAAGUCGCCACCCUGGUAUCUGACCCAGAAGAGAAGUUUGGAAGAAAGAAAUCUCUGGUGUUAGCACUGACACCAUGGGCCAGCGAUCCAAGUGCCAUAGAGUGGAGCAGAUUUAGUCAGGGCCCGCCUCAGCUAAAUCCUCUGAGGCUCCAGGGUUGAUGACAGCCCAAAAAGAGCUUGAUGCCAGGCAGACACUGCCUCCUCUUGCCCCAUUCUCGCUCCCCACCUCAGAACCACACGGAGAGAAGGAGUAUGGCAUGUGGCCUAGAGCAGUGAGGCAGCUUGUCCUGUUGAGAGCUGUAGAGCCGGGCAGGCGGGCCUUAUAGACACUGAGUCCAUGCAGGGCUCGGGGGUGGGCAAGGACACAGUCCUCUUGCUGGAACACACUCCCUGUGUUCACACCAACAUCAUUCCAGCCCCUGUCAUGGAGCUGCCAAAUUGGAUUUCCUUGAAUAGUGCCGUCAGUGUUGUCCCAGCUCCAGCUGGGCCCAGUAGCUCCCCUGGCCACUUACUCUGUCUAGCUUGGUUGUGGGGGUUGAAGGGUUUGGAGUUGGGAGUUGGGAUAGAGAAUUUAGGAAUGGGAGCAAGAAUAUUAGCAGCAAAAAUCGGGAGGCCCCCCAUGGUGGCUCAUGCCUAUAAUCCCAACACUUUGGGAGGCCAAGGCAGGAAGAUUGCUCGAGGCCAACAGUUCGAGACCAGCCUGGACAAUAUAGCAAGAUGCUGUCUCUACAAAAAAUAAAAAUAUUAGUGGGGUGCAGUGGUACACGCCUGUAGUCCCAGCUACAUGGGAAGCUGAAGCAGGAGGAUCGCUGGAACCCAGGAGUUCGAGGCUGCAGUGACCACUGACUGGGACCUUCAGAAGGGCACUGGCUGCACUGAGGGCCACACAGGGACCUCAGCUGCAGCGCCUCUGGCAGCUGGCAUGAUAGCCUUAAUGCUGCAGGUGCGGCCCUGCCUCACAUGGCGUGACGUCCAGCACAUAAUUGUCUUCACAGCCACCCGGUACGAGGAUCGCCGUGCAGAGUGGGUCACCAACGAGGCAGG